rnacentral:rRNA from 1 species
UUUGUUCAUGGCCUCGGAUGAACGCUAGCGGCAGGCCUAACACAUGCAAGUUCGAGGGAGGAGCCUUCGGGCUUUCGACCGGCGUACGGGUGCGUAACGCGUAUACAAUCUGCCUUUUACAUAGGGAUAGCCCGAAGAAAUUUGGAUUAAUACCUAAUGGUAUAUAGAUGUGGCAUCACCUUUAUAUUAAAGCUGAGGCGGUGAAAGAUGAGUAUGCGUUCUAUUAGCUAGUUGGAGAGGUAACGGCUCCCCAAGGCGACGAUAGAUAGGGGUUCUGAGAGGGAUAUCCCCCACACUGGUACUGAGAUACGGACCAGACUCCUACGGGAGGCAGCAGUGAGGAAUAUUGGACAAUGGUCGGAAGACUGAUCCAGCCAUGCCGCGUGCAGGAAGACGGCCUUAUGGGUUGUAAACUGCUUUUGCAGGGGAAGAAUAAGGACUACGAGUAGUUUGAUGACGGUACUCUGUGAAUAAGCAUCGGCUAACUCCGUGCCAGCAGCCGCGGUAAUACGGAGGAUGCGAGCGUUAUCCGGAAUCAUUGGGUUUAAAGGGUCCGUAGGCGGGCUAAUAAGUCAGAGGUGAAAGCGCUCAGCUCAACUGAGCAACUGCCUUUGAAACUGUUAGUCUUGAAUGGUUGUGAAGUAGUUGGAAUGUGUAGUGUAGCGGUGAAAUGCUUAGAUAUUACACAGAACACCGAUAGCGAAGGCAUAUUACUAACAAUUAAUUGACGCUGAUGGACGAAAGCGUGGGGAGCGAACAGGAUUAGAUACCCUGGUAGUCCACGCUGUAAACGAUGGAUACUAGCUGUUUGGUUGUAAGACUGAGUGGCUAAGCGAAAGUGAUAAGUAUCCCACCUGGGGAGUACGCACGCAAGUGUGAAAACUCAAAGGAAUUGACGGGGGCCCGCACAAGCGGUGGAGCAUGUGGUUUAAUUCGAUGAUACGCGAGGAAACCUUACCAAGGUUUAAAAUGGAGACUGACAGGUGUAGAGAUACGCUUUUCUUCGGACAGUUUUCAAGGUGCUGCAUGGUUGUCGUCAGCUCGUGCCGUGAGGUGUCAGGUUAAAGUCCUAUAAACGAGCGCAACCCCCGCCAUUAGUUGCUAGCGAGUCGAAGUCGAGCGACUCUAGUGGGACUGCCGGUGCUAAACCGUGAGGAAAGGUGGGGAUGUACGUCGAAUUCAUCGCGGCUCCUUGACUUCUUGGGCUACGCGCGUGCUACGAAUGGUCGUUGACGGUGUAGCUGGCCGACUGCGUGUAGUGGGCGCGGAUCUAUAAAGACG